rnacentral:lncRNA from 1 species
UAAGUAGCAAUAUUUCCUUAAAGAGCAUUCUUAUUUAAAGCUCUCGAUUUUUCAUUCUCUCUCCUCACUCAGUCAUAACACAAAGACUGAGCUCUCGCUACAAAGACUGAGCUCUCGCUACAAAACUCCUCACUGCCAAAAUCGAUUCCCUUGAAAUCCAUUGCUGCAACAUCGAAGAGAGAGAAAGCGAAGCCCUUCCCUCUAGAAACGCGAUUGCUGCUUGAGAGAAACUCAGUCGAUUGGUUCCUUCGACUGGUUUCUGUUUCACGACUCUGAGUCGCCCAGAGUUCCUUCGAUAAUCCCAAGCUUCAGAAAAGGAAAGCCCUAUAAUCGAAGCCCUACAAAGCUCGCCGUGCCCUAGAAUCGGAAGUAAGCAGUUCGAUUCCCCUCAAUCCCUCACUUCGAUUUUGCUGGUUCCACACUUCGAUUCGGUAAGGGCUUCGAUUUUGCUUGUUAUUUUUUGUUCCUGUGAUUGAUGAUGAGUGGAAAUUGGUAAGUAUCUCUUAAUUUUUUUAGCAGGACAACACUUUUGAUGGUAGGAUAUUGGGAAAUCAUGCUUUUCAUCUCUUUAGUUGCUGUUGCUGUUAUUGAAAGGAGUCAUAAUAUACAUGGUUGGCUUCUGAUUAUGAUUUAAAACUGACUCGACUCGAGUGACUAUUUUCAACUGUGUUGGUAUCUUGAAUUAUUGUACAGAACUAAGUUGUCAGUAAAAUCUAAAUACAUAUAAACCUGUUAUUUAGACAACAUACUCUGUUCGUGAAGGUGAUUUCAAACUGGAGCAUGAGUUUUGGUUUUAAGCUUAUUUCUCAAUAUAACUAUUAUCUCAAUAAUUCUUUUAAUUGGUGAUUUCACAGGUUCAAGUAAAUUUCAUUGCCAUAGAUUUGUUAUAUGCAAGUGAAAAAUAGUUAUACAUCCAUUAGUUACCACCUUUCUAUUAAACUUGGUAUUCUCAACUGUAAGUAUGCAUCCAUUGCCAUAGAUUUGACAAGGUAAAAAAUAGUUAUACAUCCAUUGCCAUAGAUUUGACAUUGCUGAUGAAGCUUGUUCAUUUUAAAAUCUGCUUACUAUGAACUUGGGAGCUCAUAAAAAUAUGUUCUGUGAGCUUCUUUGGGCACAAAGCCAUUCCAGCAUGUUUCCCACAUUGUUAUGCAGAAACUGAUUGGGAUGAGGCUAGUAUGAAUAUGGUUACUGUCUAAAAUCUCAUCUUUCUGUUUAGUUUUUUUUUUCUUAAAAAAAAUAGAUGUAUGAGUGAAUUGGUUAUCAUAUAUUAAUGAGGUUGAGGCAGAGUAUAUAUAGAGCUCAUAUUCAGUAUUUAAAUUCAAUAUUGGUGGCUUUACUUUUAGUAGAUAUUUAUAUUUAGUGGAAGGAUGCAGGAAAUUUUUCCCAACUCUGUGUUAUGUAUUUUCUCUAGAAUGGAAGAAUGUAGAAAUUUGCACAUGACUGUCUAUGAAACUUAAUCUUUUGCUUUGUAGUGACAAUUUCCUUGUUUGGUUUGUUGCAGUACACCAACUGAAGUAAUAAAAGCUAAUCCUUGUUUGGAGCUGAAAGCCAAAACUGAGCUGAAAGCUAAUUCUUUUCUGAUGCUAAACCUUUUUAUGGUUGCUUGAUGUAAACAGUUUUGCCAUAUGUAAACAGUUUGUGGCUUCUUGAUGUAAACAGUUUAUGGCCGAUUUGCCUUUAUAGUGUAAUAUACAUGUGAUGGUGUAAUGUACAUGACUGUGAGCUAAAGCUUUGCCACAGUUUAUGAAUUUGAUUGUGUUGGUUGUGAGCUUGUGACACUAUGCAGCUGUGAAUAUCUAGCCAUUUACAUGCACAAUUGAUCACAUGUCAGUUGAAAAAGAAUAUGCUGCAAAGCAAUCGAAUCCAUAUAUACAGUUCACAAUGAAAGGAAUUUUUAAUUGAGGGAAAAAAAUAAUUGAAUAAUUUGGACAUGUUACAAACUUACUUGAUUAAUUUACAAAUCAACAACAAACCCAAAUUAAAGAGAAGCUAACUAACUGAAGCUAAAGACUUCAUGAAUAUCUUUUAAUAAUUAAGAAAUGACUUCACUUGUAGUCUUGAAUCUGAAGCUAAAGAUUCCCUCUUGAUUACUCCUCAUGGUUGUACAUUUCACAUUAUGAUCCUUAAUUAUAAUUAUUCUUUUCCUUUGUAAUUUGCAUUCAUCUUCUGUGUUGAAAAAAACACCUGCAGAAAGUAUUUAUUCGUUUGCUUUCUCUUAUAGUGACAAUAUCUUUGUUUGGUUUGUUGCAGUACACUAACUGAAGUAACCGAGAAGAUCUUGAAGGGGAGGAUGGAUUGACCUUUUGGAUGACAAAUUAUUCUCAUAUUUUCAGUUCUUAUUUUCAUUUAUGAUAAGAUACGUAGAUCACUUUAGAUUGUAUUUUUGGGUCAUGGUUACCAGACACACUGUUGUAGCUUUAUCCUUUGAACCAGAUGCUUGUGAAUCCAAUGGAAUUUUAGUUUAAAUUAAAAUUUGCACGAC